GGAUUGUAGCUCAGUGGUAGAGCGCUCAUCUAGCACGUGCGAGGCCUGGGGUUUGAUCCUCAGCACCA
rnacentral:tRNA from 1 species